CCCUAGAGGAGCCUGUUCCAUAAUCGAUAAACCCCGAUCCACCUCACCCUCCCUUGCUUAGCCUAUAUACCGCCAUCUUCAGCAAACCCUGAUAAAGGUUACAAAGUGAGCACAAACGCCCUGCCGCCGCAAAAACGUUAGGUCAAGGUGUAGCCCAUGAGAGGGUAAAAAUGGGCUACAUUUUCUAUAUCAGAAAACCCCACGAAAACUCCUAUGAAACCUGGGAGUCCAAGGAGGAUUUAGCAGUAAAUUAAGAAUAGAGUGCUUAAUUGAACUAGGCCAUAAAGCGCGUACACACCGCCCGUCACUCCCCUCAAAUAUACUUAAGGAACACUUUAACUAAACGCCCUAAUAUUUAUAUAGAGGGGAUAAGUCGUAACAUGGUAAGUGUAUUGGAAGAUGCACUUGGAC
rnacentral:rRNA from 1 species